rnacentral:rRNA from 1 species
ACUACGGUGGGCAGCAGUGAGGAAUAUUGGUCAAUGGGCGUAAGCCUGAACCAGCCAAGUCGCGUGAGGGCUGAAGGUUCUAUGGAUCGUAAACCUCUUUUAUCAGGGAAUAAAGUGCGGGACGUGUCCCGUUUUGUAUGUACCUUAUGAAUACGGAUCGGCUAACUACGUGCCAGCAGCCGCGGUAAUACGGAGGAUCCGAGCGUUAUCCGGAUUUCUUUGGGUUUAAAGUGUGCGUAGGCGGCCUUUUAAGUCAGCGGUGAAAGUCUGUGGAGAAACCAUAGAAUUGCCGUUGAAACUGGGAGGCUUGAGGAUGUUUGAGGCAGGCGGAAGGCGUGGUGUAGCGGUGAAAUGCUUAGAUAUCACGCAGAACCCAGAUUGCGAAGGCAGCCUGCCAAGCCAUGACUGACGCUGAUGCACGAAAGCGUGGGGAUCAAACAGGAUUAGAGACCCCAGUAGUC